AUGCGAUAAGUAAUGUGAAUUGCAGAAUUCAGUGAAUCAUCGAAUCUUUGAACGCAUCUUGCGCUCCUUGGUAUUCCAUGGAGCAUGCCUGUUUGAGUGUCACGUAAACCCUCACACCUGCGAUGUCAAAAUCGUGGGUCGUGGAUUUGGAUCGUGCCGUAAUUGGCUCGUCCUUGAAAUGCAUUAGCUUGUGCUCGUUAGAGUGCUCGGCAUGGUGUGAUAAUUAUCUGCGCCGUUAUGCCUUAGGCCUCUUCUGUGUGCGCUGCUUCCAAUCGUCCCUCGCGGACAACAUUACAUUUAAAGCUUUGGCCUCAAAUCAGGUAGGACUACCCGCUGAACUUAA
rnacentral:misc_RNA from 1 species